rnacentral:rRNA from 1 species
UACGUAGGGUCCGAGCGUUGUCCGGAUUUAUUGGGCGUAAAGAGCUCGUAGGCGGUUCCGUAAGUCAGAUGUGAAAACUCAGGGCUCAACCCGGAGACGCCAUCUGAUACUGCGGUGACUGGAGUCUGGUAGGGGAACACGGAAUUCCUGGUGUAGCGGUGAAAUGCGCAGAUAUCAGGAAGAACAUCGGUGGCGAAGGCGCUCUGCUGGACCAUAACUGACACUCAGGGACGAAAGCUAGGGGAGCGAAUGGG